rnacentral:lncRNA from 1 species
CGCCCAACAACCUGCCCACUUGACCCUAUCCCCUCCUCUCUUCUCCAGACCAUUUCCGGAGACCUUCUCCCCUACCUCACCUCGCUCAUCAACUCAUCCUUGACCGCUGGCUACGUCCCUUCCGUCUUCAAGAGAGCGAGAGUUGCACCCCUUCUGAAAAAACCUACACUCGAUCCCUCCGAUGUCAACAACUACAGACCAACCUAUCUGCUGCCUUUGAUACCAUGAACCAUCAGAUCCUCCUCUCCACCCUCUCCGAGCUGGGCAUCUCCGGCGCCGCCCACGCUUGGAUUGCGUCCUACCUGACAGGUCGCUCCUACCAGGUGGCGAAUCGCAUCUCUGCAUGUCUGGCAGACAUAUCAGUGUGGAUGACGGAUCACCACCUCAAGCUGAACCUCGGCAAGACGGAGCUGCUCUUCCUCCCGGGGAAGGACUGCCCGUUCCAUGAUCUCGCCAUCACGGUUGACAACUCCCUUGUGUCCUCCUCCCAGAGUGCUAAGAGCCUUGGCGUGACCCUGGACAACACCCUGUCGUUCUCCACCAACAUCAAGGCGGUGACCCG